rnacentral:rRNA from 1 species
CAGCAGCCACGGUAACACGUAGGUGGCAAGCGUUGUCCGGAAUUAUUGGGCGUAAAGGGCUCGCAGGCGGUUUCUUAAGUCUGAUGUGAAAGCCCCCGGCUCAACCGGGGAGGGUCAUUGGAAACUGGGAAACUUGAGUGCAGAAGAGGAGAGUGGAAUUCCACGUGUAGCGGUGAAAUGCGUAGAGAUGUGGAGGAACACCAGUGGCGAAGGCGACUCUCUGGUCUGUAACUGACGCUGAGGAGCGAAAGCGUGGGGAGCGAACAGGAUUAGAUACCCGAGUAGUCCCUGUCUCUUAUAA